AAAGAAAGAAAGAAAGAAAGAAAGAAAGAAAGAAAGAAAGAAAGAAAGCAAACAAAGGAAGGAAGGAAGGAAGGAAGGAAGGAAGGAAGGAAGGAAGGAAGGAAGGAAGGAAGGAAAGAGGGCAUUGCUUCAAAUCUGUUGGAGAUAUGUAAUUUAAAAAUCUCAUUGGAUAUUUCUAAUACACUACUAAUGAUACCUUAGAAACUGGCUCAAUGAUAGAGGGAUUUCUAAGCAGUGUAAUUUCUACAUUCGAUGAACAGCUCCAUGAAUAUGCAAUAUAAAGAAUGAUUGCAGCUAACAUUGUUUCUAAUAAGGCUUAUUCCAAUCUCUGGGUUGCUUUUAAUAAUCACAUAGUCAUUCAGAAGAUUUGUUCUCCUGCUCCAUUUUGAAGGCUGUUCUGUGCUUCAUAAAAUCAGUUCAUAUAAAACCACUGAGUUGAUUUUUCAUUUUGCCUUUUCUGGAUACCUAGGGAUACAAUUGCAACUUGUCAUUUAUUCUAUAUGCAUUUUUGAAAGAUAACAUUUUUUUGUAUUUUGGGGCUGUUGUAAAUAAAAUGCUGUAAUUACAUAGCUUAUAAACAACAAACAACUGUCACAUCCCAACCUAGAGGCUGAGAAGGCCAAGUAGAGCCAGCAGAGGUGGGUUCUAGUGUGAGCACACACUUCCUGCCUCACAGAUGAUGGUCUUGCUGUGCUUUCUCCUGUCAGAUGGGCAAAGGAUGUUCUUGGAGGCCUCUUUUAUGAGCACAAUAAGCCAAACCUGAGAGUCAGAGCCCUCAAUGUGAGCCCUUCACACAGGCUCCGCCACCACACACCCCCGUCUUGUGACUAAAUCUCAACAUAAUGGACUGGGAGAGUGGAUGGCACAAGGGUUCUGACUGUCACACCUGGGUGCGUGUCAUUCAAUAAGAGCAAUGAUGACUUGUUCCACCUAGAAAGUGCUCUGAAUAGAGAGGCAUCUCAAUGCAAUUUCUUCACCAUUACUCACUCAUCUUUUUGUGAUAUCACUUUCCUUUAUUAUCCAGAAACAUAAGUGGAGGAGGGAGAGCUACAGGGCAUGGAUCCACAGAAGAGGAAGUAGGAUAUCACUGUGAUAUAUUCUUUGUUUGUUUGUUUGUUUGUUUGUUUGUUUGUUUGAACUGAGUGUCAGAGAUCCUAGCAGGGUUCUACUCUAUGGACUGGAUGCCUCUUCUGUGAGGUCUUGAAUUCAUGGAAGUGAUUAAAAUCUGAUUUGGAUAGAUUAGCAUAUCUCAGAGAUUUCUAAUUAACUGAGAUUCUCUUCCCCUUGUCUUUUUUUCUCCCUCUUUCUUUUCAUUUUCAUUUUCAUUUUUUUUCUUGCCUUGAUUUUUGUUUUUAUUAAGUCAUUUUUUUUCUUUGUUAGGCAGAAUCUCACAUCAUAACCCCAAAUGACCUGUUACUCACCAUGUGGCCCAGCUGUCUUCAAACUCACCAGCCUCCUGCCUUAGCCUUCUAAAUGCUUGGAUUACAGGCAUGACCCACCAUAACUGGCUUUGUUUUAGUUUCAGAGAAGAUGAAACUGAUGUGCGUCAAAAAGUUAUGGAGGCUGGGAAGACCUAGAAUGUGGCAUCACUAUUUGGUUAUUUAGAAAAUUGUUACCUCAAAAAUGACCUAGGGGUCCUUAGAAUAAUAACACACAGAAGAAUAGCCUCAUUUUUCUGUUGGGCCCAGGAAACCAUGCCGAUUACCGACCGAGCUCUCAAUGGAAAAAUGCAGUCGGCGUGAACCACGCACGAACACAGCAGAGAAAGAAGAAAACACACACCACGAGGAACCCUAAUAGGACAAUACAUUAUAAGCCUCAUGGUACAUCCACUUGGUGUGCUGGGAGAGUCAGGAUGAGGACCUGAGAAGAACAGCAGCUUGAACCUGACUUCAUUUAACAGCCCACUGCCCUCUUGCCAAGAACCCAUCACAGACCUUCCCAGAAGAGAGGGAUGAGCCUCACCUAUGAAUAAGUCCUCAGAAACUCAAAUUUGAUUCUAAUGGAUUGUUUUCUCAGAAAGACUGAGCAUGUCCCCCCACAUCUCUGUCAUUUCCCACAGUAGUAACCUCUGCAGAUGCCACAUAGAAAACAAAACAAAACAAAAAAACAUGAGGUUGGUGGGCAGAUAGGCAGGGUAUAAACAAACAGCCUUGUAACCCAGAAGCUGUGUGAUAUACAGUAAACUUCACAACACUGAAAAGAUGUCCUAUCUGUUAAAAUGGGGUAAUAACAACUACCCGAAUGUUUAGGAAUAGAACUUCAAUAAAUGAUACAUUUUAUAGUACAGCAGACCAUCCUGUAAAGGUUUCAUCCUUCACUGUGGUGAUAAAUAUCCCAAACCACAUUGAAAAGCAUUGCAUCUACAUUUAUCUACACUGUAACUGUACUGUAAAUCAUGGGGGAGGGGAGAAUCAUAAAAACACCACCUGUCACCGUGUCAUUAAAGCAAGUUGGAAGUGAUACUUACAGAAACACAGCAAGAGCACCCCCAGUCACACAGUUCAAUCUCUUAGCAAGCGUUUUCUUUCUAGCCCAGUGGUUCUCAGUUUGGAAUUUUUGGCACUGCCUAGAGAUAGUUUUGUUGUUAAAACUGAGAAAAGAGCCGGGCGUGGUGGCACACGCCUUUAAUCCCAGCACUCAGGAGGCAGAGGCAGG
rnacentral:lncRNA from 1 species